AAGUCGUAACAAGGUUUCCGUAGGUGAACCUGCGGAAGGAUCAUUACCGAGUGAGGGCCCCCUCGCGGGCCCAACCUCCCACCCUUGUCUGUUAAAAUACCCUGUUGCUUCGGCGGGUCCACCGGGGAGACCCGGUCGCCGGGGGGCACUCUGCCCCCGGGCCCGCGCCCGCCGAAGCGCCUCUUGAACCCGGAUGAAGAUAGGCUGUCUGAGUAACAUGAAAAUUAUUAAAACUUUCAACAAUGGAUCUCUUGGUUCCG
rnacentral:misc_RNA from 1 species